rnacentral:rRNA from 1 species
GGAAAGGCGCGCGAUACAGGGUGACAGCCCCGUACACAAAAAUGCACAUGCUGUGAGCUCGAUGAGUAGGGCGGGACACGUGGUAUCCUGUCUGAAUAUGGGGGGACCAUCCUCCAAGGCUAAAUACUCCUGACUGACCGAUAGUGAACCAGUACCGUGAGGGAAAGGCGAAAAGAACCCCGGCGAGGGGAGUGAAAAAGAACCUGAAACCGUGUACGUACAAGCAGUGGGAGCACGCUUAGGCGUGUGACUGCGUACCUUUUGUAUAAUGGGUCAGCGACUUAUAUUCUGUAGCAAGGUUAACCGAAUAGGGGAGCCGAAGGGAAACCGAGUCUUAACUGGGCGUUAAGUUGCAGGGUAUAGACCCGAAACCCGGUGAUCUAGCCAUGGGCAGGUUGAAGGUUGGGUAACACUAACUGGAGGACCGAACCGACUAAUGUUGAAAAAUUAGCGGAUGACUUGUGGCUGGGGGUGAAAGGCCAAUCAAACCGGGAGAUAGCUGGUUCUCCCCGAAAGCUAUUUAGGUAGCGCCUCGUGAAUUCAUCUCCGGGGGUAGAGCACUGUUUCGGCAAGGGGGUCAUCCCGACUUACCAACCCGAUGCAAACUGCGAAUACCGGAGAAUGUUAUCACGGGAGACACACGGCGGGUGCUAACGUCCGUCGUGAAGAGGGAAACAACCCAGACCGCCAGCUAAGGUCCCAAAGUCAUGGUUAAGUGGGAAACGAUGUGGGAAGGCCCAGACAGCCAGGAUGUUGGCUUAGAAGCAGCCAUCAUUUAAAGAAAGCGUAAUAGCUCACUGGUCGAGUCGGCCUGCGCGGAAGAUGUAACGGGGCUAAACCAUGCACCGAAGCUGCGGCAGCGACACUAUGUGUUGUUGGGUAGGGGAGCGUUCUGUAAGCCUGUGAAGGUGUGCUGUGAGGCAUGCUGGAGGUAUCAGAAGUGCGAAUGCUGACAUAAGUAACGAUAAAGCGGGUGAAAAGCCCGCUCGCCGGAAGACCAAGGGUUCCUGUCCAACGUUAAUCGGGGCAGGGUGAGUCGACCCCUAAGGCGAGGCCGAAAGGCGUAGUCGAUGGGAAACAGGUUAAUAUUCCUGUACUUGGUGUUACUGCGAAGGGGGGACGGAGAAGGCUAUGUUGGCCGGGCGACGGUUGUCCCGGUUUAAGCGUGUAGGCUGGUUUUCCAGGCAAAUCCGGAAAAUCAAGGCUGAGGCGUGAUGACGAGGCACUACGGUGCUGAAGCAACAAAUGCCCUGCUUCCAGGAAAAGCCUCUAAGCAUCAGGUAACAUCAAAUCGUACCCCAAACCGACACAGGUGGUCAGGUAGAGAAUACCAAGGCGCUUGAGAGAACUCGGGUGAAGGAACUAGGCAAAAUGGUGCCGUAACUUCGGGAGAAGGCACGCUGAUAUGUAGGUGAAGUCCCUCGCGGAUGGAGCUGAAAUCAGUCGAAGAUACCAGCUGGCUGCAACUGUUUAUUAAAAACACAGCACUGUGCAAACACGAAAGUGGACGUAUACGGUGUGACGCCUGCCCGGUGC